rnacentral:tRNA from 1 species
GUGGAUGUAGCUCAGCCCGGUCAGAGCGCCAGGUUGUGGCCCUGGAGGUCGUGGGUUCAAGUCCCAUCAUCCACCCCA